UAAUACAGAGGGUGCGAGCGUUAAUCGGAAUUACUGGGCGUAAAGCGAGUGUAGGUGGCUCAUUAAGUCACAUGUGAAAUCCCCGGGCUUAACCUGGGAACUGCAUGUGAUACUGGUGGUGCUAGAAUAUGUGAGAGGGAAGUAGAAUUCCAGGUGUAGCGGUGAAAUGCGUAGAGAUCUGGAGGAAUACCGAUGGCGAAGGCAGCUUCCUGGCAUAAUAUUGACACUGAGAUUCGAAAGCGUGGGUAGCAAACAGG
rnacentral:rRNA from 1 species